UCGAACGAGAAAGCAGGAGCAAUCUUGUGAGUAAAGUGGCGUACGGGUGAGUAACACGUGGAUUAUCUACCCUCUUGUGGGGGAUAACCCUGGGAAACCGGGGCUAAUACCGCAUAAGCUCGAGAGAGGAAAGCAGCAAUGCGCAGGAGGAGGAGUCCGCGGCUGAUUAGCUAGUUGGUAGGGUAACGGCCUACCAAGGCUAUGAUCGGUAGCCGGCCUGAGAGGGCACACGGCCACACUGGCACUGAAACACGGGCCAGACUCCUACGGGAGGCAGCAGUGGGGAAUCUUGCACAAUGGGGGCAACCCUGAUGCAGCGACGCCGCGUGAGCGAUGAAGCCCUUCGGGGUGUAAAGCUCUUUCGGCAGGGAAGAUAAUGACGGUACCUGCAGAAGCAGCUGCGGCUAGCUACGUGCCAGCAGCCGCGGUAAUACGUAGGCAGCAAGCGUUGUUCGGAGUUACUGGGCGUAAAGGGUGUGUAGGCGGCCUUCUAAGUUUGGUGUGAAAUCUCCCGGCUCAACCGGGAGGGUGCGCCGAAGACUGGGGGGCUAGAGUGCGGGAUGGGAGAGUAGAAUUCCUGGUGUAGCGGUGAAAUGCGUAGAUAUCAGGAGGAAUACCUGUGGGUGUAGACGGCUCUCUGGACCGCAACUGACGCUGAGACACGAAAGCGUGGGUAGCAAACAGGAUUAGAUACCCUGGUAGUCCACGCCCUAAACGAUGCAUAUUUUGGUGUAGGUCAUUCAGUUGAUCUGUGCCGGAGCUAACGCGUUAAAUAUGCCGGCUGGGGAGUACAGUCGCAAGGCU
rnacentral:rRNA from 1 species